rnacentral:rRNA from 1 species
CAGCAGCCGCGGUAAUACAGAGGGUGCGAGCGUUAAUCGGAUUUACUGGGCGUAAAGCGUGCGUAGGCGGCUUUUUAAGUCGGAUGUGAAAUCCCUGAGCUUAACUUAGGAAUUGCAUUCGAUACUGGGAAGCUAGAGUAUGGGAGAGGAUGGUAGAAUUCCAGGUGUAGCGGUGAAAUGCGUAGAGAUCUGGAGGAAUACCGAUGGCGAAGGCAGCCAUCUGGCCUAAUACUGACGCUGAGGUACGAAAGCAUGGGGAGCAAACAGGAUUAGAUACCCCUGUAGUCCCUGUCUCUUAUCC